rnacentral:lncRNA from 1 species
UACAAAAUAAUUGGAAUAAUAUAACUGUACAUAUCAUAGGAAAACAAUUAGAUAGAAUGGAAGAAAAAAUAGACAGAAAUUAUGAGGCUAUAACAAAUAUAGAACAUGUAGAAACACCUCAAACACCAUCACCUACAAUACCCAAACCAAAUACAACUUAUUUCUCACAAAGAUAUAGUGAUGCAAAACCAUAUAAUAUAGAUCCUGCUAGAAAACAAACAAAUAAA